UGAGGAAUAUUGCGCAAUGGGGGCAACCCUGACGCAGCGACGCCGCGUGGAUGAUGAAGGCCCUUGGGUCGUAAAAUCCUGUCAGAUGGAAAGAAAUGUAUAGCAGCUAAUAUCUGUUAUAUUUGACGGUACCAUCAAAGGAAGCACCGGCUAACUCCGUGCCAGCAGCCGCGGUAAUACGGAGGGUGCAAGCGUUGUUCGGAAUUACUGGGCGUAAAGCGCGCGUAGGCGGUUUGCUAAGUCAGAUGUGAAAGCCCUCGGCUUAACCGGGGACGUGCAUUUGAAACUGGCAGACUUGAGUACUGGAGGGGGUGGUGGAAUUCCCGGUGUAGAGGUGAAAUUCGUAGAUAUCGGGAGGAAUACCGGUGGCGAAGGCGACCACCUGGCCAGAUACUGACGC
rnacentral:rRNA from 1 species